rnacentral:rRNA from 1 species
GCCAGACUCCUACGGGAGGCAGCAGUGAGGAAUAUUGGUCAAUGGGCGAGAGCCUGAACCAGCCAAGUCGCGUGAGGGAUGACGGCCCUACGGGUUGUAAACCUCUUUUGUCGGGGAGCAAAGAGAGUCACGUGUGACUCAUUGAGAGUACCCGAAGAAAAAGCAUCGGCUAACUCCGUGCCAGCAGCCGCGGUAAUACGGAGGAUGCGAGCGUUAUCCGGAUUUAUUGGGUUUAAAGGGUGCGCAGGCGGAGGUGCAAGUCAGCGGUCAAAUUGCGGGGCUCAACCCCGUACUGCCGUUGAAACUGCAUCCCUUGAGUGCGCGAGAAGUAUGCGGAAUGCGUGGUGUAGCGGUGAAAUGCAUAGAUAUCACGCAGAACUCCGAUUGCGAAGGCAGCAUACCGGCGCGCAACUGACGCUCAUGCACGAAAGCGUGGGUAUCGAACAGGAUUAGAUACCCGUG